rnacentral:rRNA from 1 species
UACAGAGGUCCCAAGCGUUGUUCGGAUUCACUGGGCGUAAAGGGUGCGUAGGUGGUGAGGUAAGUCGGAUGUGAAAUCUCCGGGCUCAACCCGGAAACUGCAUUGGAAACUACCUUGCUUGAGGAUUUGAGGGGGGAUUGGAAUACUUGGUGUAGCAGUGAAAUGCGUAGAAUAUCAAGUGGAACACCAGUGGCGAAGGCGAAUCCCUGGAAAAUACCUGACACUGAGGCACGAAAGCUAGGGGAGCAAACAGG